UCCAGCUCCAAUAGCGUAUAUUAAAGUUGUUGCGGUUAAAAAGCUCGUAGUUGGAUUUCUGCCGAGGACGACCGGUCCGCCCUCUGGGUGAGUAUCUGGCUCGGCCUGGGCAUCUUCUUGGAGAACGUAGCUGCACUUGACUGUGUGGUGCGGUAUCCAGGACUUUUACUUUGAGGAAAUUAGAGUGUUUCAAGCAGGCUUACGCCUUGAAUACAUUAGCAUGGAAUAAUAAGAUAGGACCUCGGUUCUAUUUUGUUGGUUUCUAGAGCUGAGGUAAUGAUUAAUAGGGAUAGUUGGGGGCAUUCGUAUUUAACUGUCAGAGGUGAAAUUCUCGGAUU
rnacentral:rRNA from 1 species